UUUCAAACUGGGAAGUUUUAGAGGGCGGGGGAGGGGGAGGGGAAUUUCUUGUUUUGCGGGGAAAAAGGUUGAGGAAUUGGAAGAACACCCAGGGGGGAGGGCGGGUUUUUUGGUCGUUAACUGACGCUGGAGGCUUGGAAAGCGGGGGGGGCAAACCAGGAUUAGAUUCCCCUGGUAGUCCUCGCCGUUAACGACGAAUAAUAGGUGUAGGGGUUGUCAUGACCUCUGUGCCGCCGCUAACGCAUUAAGUAUUCCGCCUGGGGAGUACGGUCGCAAGAUUAAAACUCAAAGGAAUUGACGGGGGCCCGCACAAGCAGCGGAGCAUGUGGUUUAAUUCGAAGCAACGCGAGGAACCUUACCUAGACUUGACAUCUCCUGCAUUACUCUUAAUCGAGGAAGUCCCUUCGGGGACAGGAAGACAGGUGGUGCAUGGUUGUCGUCAGCUCGUGUCGUGAGAUGUUGGGUUAAGUCCCGCAACGAGCGCAACCCUUAUUGUUAGUUGCUACCAUUAAGUUGAGCACUCUAGCAAGACUGCCGUGGUUAACGCGGAGGAAGGUGGGGAUGACGUCCAAUCAUCAUGCCCCUUAUGUCUAGGGCUACACACGUGCUACAAUGGUGAGUACAAAGAGACGCAAUACCGUGAGGUGGAGCAAAACUCAAAAACUCAUCCCAGUUCGGAUUGUAGGCUGCAACUCGCCUACAUGAAGUUGGAGUUGCUAGUAAUCGCGAAUCAGAAUGUCGCGGUGAAUACGUUCCCGGGCCUUGCACUCACCGCCCGUCA
rnacentral:rRNA from 1 species